UGCACAAACUAUAUGCAUGGCCAAGGGCUUAAGGAGAGGAAAGAGCCAGUUUAAGAAACUGAGAAAACACAGAAAAUAAUUGCAAGUAUAGAUGGGUCUAGCCUGAGAUUUUGUCACUUUGAAUUAACAUGGGCAGGCACCUGAACCAGCUGCCUUCCAAGAAGAAUUCUUCACUGAUUGCCCCAGCUACUUCUGCGAGAGGAAUGGUGGCAGCUCGUAGCCUCUAGAGGGGGAAGAAAAAACACAGUCGGAGGGAAGCUGGUAUUUAAACUUUGUAGAGUGAGAGAGAAAAGGUGUUGUUAUGGUAACAAAUUGCUUGUAUUCUCCAAAGGAAGCACUGGCUCUGUUUAAUAGGGGGGAAAUGCAGGGAAGGCAAAAGGAUAAUAUUUCAAAAAAAUUUUAAUGAGACAUGAAUUGCACAUUCUCAUUCUGUUGGAGUGUGUAAUGGUUCAAGAGGGAGGAAGAGUGGCAUUUAUAACCAGGUCUUGAGUACAGCGUGCAUGUGUUCUGUCUGCUGUUACUUCGGCUCUCUGGACUACGCAGAGCCCAACUUUAGACACUUGAUUCCUUUGCUCAUUUUGUUUUCCAAACAUGCACUGUUUGUAAAAUGGCCAGAGUAGGUGGCACCUUAGGAGCAGCCAGCAGUGGCAUCCUCUUUUUUUCCAAGCCCUCGAUAUGCAGCAAGAGAGGCUGGCUCAGUCCACAGAGCACAAUUAGAAAGCCAGACGGUAAUCACUGCUGGAGAAUUUGACAAAAUGGCAUGGCUAGUAUGGCUCAGUAACACUUCCAAAUAGUUCACCCCCAAAUCAACUGUUUAAAGACGAGAACACAAAAGCGACUUCCCACACGUUAAUGGGUAGGGUAGUCCACAACACCUGAGAGUGCCUGGUUCUCUCUGUGGAAAGGCUCAGGUCAGCACCACAAAUGAAGGAUGUUUUUUGAGGUCUGGGCAGGCAAAAAUCCAGUCCUUGAUAUUCCCCCACCUGGUUUGAGGCAUAGGAAUCUGAUGCUGUAAGCACAGGCCUCCAGGCAGCAGAACUGCAUGGUUACUUCCCAGAUUUCAACGAAACAGUUUCUCCUGUUGCCUUCCCCUACACACUGGGCAUUUAUUUGGCAGAGGGAAGCAGUGGUUUAGAUAAGAAACACAAUAAUUAGGAACGUGCCAGAAAUCAGGUAUUAAUAGAAGCACCAUUAGAGGAUUUAUGGAUAAUUUAAGAUGCAGCACAUUCUUCUAGUGAAUGCCUUGUCUGUUUAAAAGCAGUAAUUGCCCAUUAUCUUGCAGCUUCUGAUGUGCUUGGCUUGUGCUUGCAUGACACAUUAAGAUACAGAAUAUAUUUAAAGAACUAACAGUAGUUUAGAGUACCUGCUCACAAUCUGAAAUGCAAGAAUCCAAUAACACCGAAAUGGCAGCUUGGAGGUGAGGGGAAGAAAAAGCACACACAAAGGACCGAAUCAAUAAACAGGUGCUGCUGUACAAGCCAUCCUGGUUGAAUGAUAAGACUGUGAUGCCGCAUGUCAACUGCCAUAGUUAAUACUCUGAAGAUAUUCCAGCUUUUGGGGUACAAUAUUGGAAGAGGUCUAAUUUCUUUGUCUUUGGUUAAUUUGUAUUGAGCCCAAUGAAGUGAGAACUAUGUGUGGACUCAGUUUAGUGGACUAUGUAAUUAUUCCUUGUUUCAAGAUGACCCCUUUUGGAGGAGGUGGGGCAAAGGAGGUGGUUUCUCAGUUAUUCAGAUGUUUUCUUGCAUGGUUUUCUGCACAUCAUACUCCACAGCCAUAAGGAACUGUACAGCUGUCCUGAAGGACAGUGGAUUGCUGAUUUGUGAAGACAAUGCUCCCAGUCUUUUCAGCACAUCACAGUCUCUAGCUUUGGGUGCUACUGUCCCCAUGAAAACCAGAGUGAACACUGAUUCAACUCAGGCAGGUUUGGAAAAUGACAACACAGGCAUCAUCAUGCACUCAGGUAAGACUUUAAAAGAUGCUUUGUGAGUUUCUGUGCCCAGUUUAAGACACCAUGAUGAAGUGUGGUUUGCAAAGAGUGCUAAACUCCUACCCUCUAGAAAUCAGGGCUCUUUUUAGCAUCCUCAAACUAGGGCCUGUGAAAAAUCUUGGAAAACCUUAAGCUUAUUGACAGUACCUUAUUUCUUGCUUGGAAAUAAGCAUUGCUGGUGAAUUAUCCCCAGCUCCAGCCAACACCAUCCACCCUUCACACUUCCACAGGCAACCUCAAAUGUUAAUUAAUGAAGGAAUAGUCCUAAAAAGCAGGCUUGCAGCUUGCUUGGAUGUUGAGUGGUGAGGAGUAAUGGCAGAGCAGCAUUAGUUCUACCACAGUGACACCCGAAAGACAUAAGCCCUCACCUGCUGCUGUUCACUAGGUUGCAUUAUUGUUUUUCUUGUUAAUAAAGGUGCUUCAGGUUUCUGA